rnacentral:rRNA from 1 species
CUCCCUGAUGUUAGCGGCGGACGGGUGAGUAACACGUGGGUAACCUGCCUGUAAGACUGGGAUAACUCCGGGAAACCGGGGCUAAUACCGGAUGGUUGUUUGAACCGCAUGGUUCAAACAUAAAAGGUGGCUUCGGCUACCACUUACAGAUGGACCCGCGGCGCAUUAGCUAGUUGGUGAGGUAACGGCUCACCAAGGCAACGAUGCGUAGCCGACCUGAGAGGGUGAUCGGCCACACUGGGACUGAGACACGGCCCAGACUCCUACGGGAGGCAGCAGUAGGGAAUCUUCCGCAAUGGACGAAAGUCUGACGGAGCAACGCCGCGUGAGUGAUGAAGGUUUUCGGAUCGUAAAGCUCUGUUGUUAGGGAAGAACAAGUACCGUUCGAAUAGGGCGGUACCUUGACGGUACCUAACCAGAAAGCCACGGCUAACUAUGUGCCAGCAGCCGCGGUAAUACGUAGGUGGCAAGCGUUGUCCGGAAUUAUUGGGCGUAAAGGGCUCGCAGGCGGUUUCUUAAGUCUGAUGUGAAAGCCCCCGGCUCAACCGGGGAGGGUCAUUGGAAACUGGGGAACUUGAGUGCAGAAGAGGAGAGUGGAAUUCCACGUGUAGCGGUGAAAUGCGUAGAGAUGUGGAGGAACACCAGUGGCGAAGGCGACUCUCUGGUCUGUAACUGACGCUGAGGAGCGAAAGCGUGGGGAGCGAACAGGAUUAGAUACCCUGGUAGUCCACGCCGUAAACGAUGAGUGCUAAGUGUUAGGGGGUUUCCGCCCCUUAGUGCUGCAGCUAACGCAUUAUGCAC